CCUACGGGAGGCAGCAGUGGGGAAUAUUGCACAAUGGGGGGAACCCUGAUGCAGCAAUGCCGCGUGGGUGAAGAAGCACUCCGGUGCGUAAAGCCCUGUCAGCAGGGAAGAAAAUGACAGUACCUGGACAAGAAGCCCCGGCUAACUACGUGCCAGCAGCCGUGGUAAUACGUCGGGGGCAAGCGUUAUCCGGAUGUACGGGGUGUAAAGGGAGAGCAGGCGGGUUGGCAAGUCAGGGGUGAAAACCGGGGGCCCAACCGUGAGAGUGCAAUGGAAACUGGCAGUAUGGAGUGCAGUAGAGGUAGGCGGAAGUCGGGGGGUAGCGGUGAAAGACUGAGAGAGCAAGAAGAAAUACGAUGGAGAAGGAAGCAUAAGAAACGGAAAAUGAAAUUGAUGUUCGAAAGUGUGGGUAGCAAACAGGAGGAGAUAAACAUGUAGUC
rnacentral:rRNA from 1 species